UACGGGGGGGGCAAGCGUUGUUCGGAAUUACUGGGCGUAAAGGGCUCGUAGGCGGCCAACUAAGUCAGACGUGAAAUCCCUCGGCUUAACCGGGGAACUGCAUCUGAUACUGGAUGGCUUGAGUUCGGGAGAGGGAUGCGGAAUUCCAGGUGUAGCGGUGAAAUGCGCAGAUAUCAGGAGGAACACCGGUGGCGAAGGCGGAUCUCUGGGCCAUUACUGACGCUGAGGAGCGAAAGCGUGGGGAGCGAACAGG
rnacentral:rRNA from 1 species